rnacentral:rRNA from 1 species
AUUGAACGCUGGCGGCAUGCCUUACACACGCAAGUCGAACGGCAGCACGGGGCAACCUGGUGGCGAGUGGCGAACGGGUGAGUAAUGCAUCGGAACGUACCUUUCAGUGGGGAUAACGUAGCGAAAGUUACGCUAAUACCGCAUAUUCUGUGAGCAGGAGAGCAGGGGAUCGCAAGACCUUGCGCUGAUUGAGCGGCCGAUGUCAGAUUAGCUAGUUGGUGAGGUAAAGGCUCACCAAGGCGACGAUCUGUAGCGGGUCUGAGAGGAUGAUCCGCCACACUGGAACUGAGACACGGUCCAGACUCCUACGGGAGGCAGCAGUGGGGAAUUUUGGACAAUGGGGGCAACCCUGAUCCAGCCAUGCCGCGUGAGUGAAGAAGGCCUUCGGGUUGUAAAGCUCUUUCGGCCGGGAAGAAAUCGCACGGGCUAAUACCCUGUGUGGAUGACGGUACCGGAAUAAGAAGCACCGGCUAACUACGUGCCAGCAGCCGCAGUAACAC